UCUUAUAGAGCAACACUACUUUAACAGAUGGAGCAGGCCCUGAGCUGAGGAGAUGCAACAUUUGCCAAACAAAGGGGAGCUGCGCAAAGCUUGUUGCUCAUUUGUAGGGAUACCGACGGUCAAGUGUAGAGUAUGGUGGUGCCACCAGACACAUUUACCAUCCCUACAGCAAGAUUUCCUCCCAAAGACUUGGUUUAUCUUGAGACCAAUGCUGUUUCCCAAUUGUCAUUCCACUGUGAUGCCUGGAGAAAACUGAGGAGUCAUGACAGUAACAUUGCAGUUUAGAUACACAGACUACUCACCUUAGACAUAAACCUGCUAAAGAUUUAUUGAUAAAUUGUAUUGUAUUUGCAUAUUCAUUGGUUGAAAUAUUCCAAACCUGUUAAAAAUGGGACAUGGGAUAGAGGUAAUAAUAAUAUCCAGUAUUGAAAACAAGGCUGUGUGUUAUCUGUACAUUCAUUUAGACUUGCAGCUUAGUGUAAAUAGUCCAGUCCCUGAGGGCAGUGAGAUGCUUGUUCAUGGCAAAUUAUAAAGCACUGGUUUUACCUUAUUAUCCCAACAGAUCACUUUGGUCCCAAAAUGCUGGCUUACUUUUGGUUCCCAGAGUCUGAGACUAAGAGUAGAAUGGGAGGCA